rnacentral:rRNA from 1 species
GACGAACGCUGGCGGCGUGCUUAACACAUGCAAGUCGAACGGAAAGGCCCUGCUUUUGUGGGGUGCUCGAGUGGCGAACGGGUGAGUAACACGUGAGUAACCUGCCCUUGACUUUGGGAUAACUUCAGGAAACUGGGGCUAAUACCGGAUAGGAGCUCCUGCUGCAUGGUGGGGGUUGGAAAGUUUCGGCGGUUGGGGAUGGACUCGCGGGUUAUCAGCUUGUUGGUGGGGUAGUGGCUUACCAAGGCUUCGACGGGUAGCCGGCCUGAGAGGGUGACCGGCCACAUUGGGACUGAGAUACGGCCCAGACUCCUACGGGAGGCAGCGGUGGGGAGUAUUGCACAGUGGGCGGAAGCGUGAUGCAGCAGCGCCGCGUGCGGGAUGACGGCCUUCGGGUUGUAAACCGCUUUCGCCUGUGACGAAGCGUGAGUGACGGUAAUGGGUAAAGAAGCACCGGCUAACUACGUG